rnacentral:rRNA from 1 species
UGGGGAAUAUUGCACAAUGGGCGCAAGCCUGAUGCAGCCAUGCCGCGUGUGUGAAGAAGGCCUUCGGGUUGUAAAGCACUUUCAGCGAGGAGGAAGGUGGUGAGCUUAAUACGCUCAUCAAUUGACGUUACUCGCAGAAGAAGCACCGGCUAACUCCGUGCCAGCAGCCGCGGUAAUACGGAGGGUGCAAGCGUUAAUCGGAAUUACUGGGCGUAAAGCGCACGCAGGCGGUUUGUUAAGUCAGAUGUGAAAUCCCCGGGCUCAACCUGGGAACUGCAUUUGAAACUGGCAAGCUAGAGUCUCGUAGAGGGGGGUAGAAUUCCAGGUGUAGCGGUGAAAUGCGUAGAGAUCUGGAGGAAUACCGGUGGCGAAGGCGGCCCCCUGGACGAAGACUGACGCUCAGGUGCGAAAGCGUGGGGCAGCAAACAGGAUUAGAUACCCUGGUAGUCCACGCUGUAAACGAUGUCGAUUUGGAGGUUGUGCCCUUGAGGCGUGGCUUCCGGAGCUAACGCGUUAAAUCGACCGCCUGGGGAGUACGGCCGCAAGGUUAAAACUUAAAUGAAUUGACGGGGUCA